CCGAAAAAGUUUCAAGAGAAUAAAAAAGAAAUCAUUUGUUUCUUUCUUUUUUUCUUUCUUUUUUUUAAGGAUGAGCUAAGAAGAGCCAGUGAGAUUAAAGUAGACUGUGAGCCUUUGGCGGACUUCUCACAAGAACAGGAACUUGAGGAGGCAGAGUGGUGAUGAAAACCGAUCAUUUGAUCUAUCACAAUAUGAGCCAUUAACAAAAAGGGGCCUUACCUGUUCAAUACGUAUGCUAAUUAAUGGUCACAGCUGCAGCCUGGACAUCCUCCUAAAGAAUGCAGAAGGACCUGGAACCUAACCGAGCUUCGGGGAAGGUAUCCAUUUUUGCAGCUAUAUU
rnacentral:lncRNA from 1 species